rnacentral:rRNA from 1 species
AGAGUUUGAUCCUGGCUCAGGACGAACGCUGGUGGCGUGCCUAAGACAUGCAAGUCGAACGGGAUUAAAAAAGCUUGCUUUUUUUAAUUCAGUGGCGGACGGGUGAGUAACACGUGAGCAAUCUACCUUUUGCAGGGGGAUAACAACUAGAAAUAGUUGCUAAUACCGCAUAAGACCACAGCAUCGCAUGAUGCAGGGGUAAAAGAGUUAUGUAUCGGCAAAAGACGGGCCCGCGUCCCAUUAGCUAGUUGGUGAGGGUAACGGCCCACCAAGGCUACGAUGGGUAGCCGACCUGAGAGGGUAAUCGGCCACACUGGAACUGAGAUACGGACCAGACUCCUACGGGAGGCAGCAGUCGGGAAUAUUGGGCAAUGGAGGCAACUCUGACCCAGCAACGCCGCGUGAAGGAAGAAGGCCUUCGGGUUGUAAACUUCUGUUGUAGAGGAAGAAAAAAAUGACGGUACUCUACUAGAAAGCACCGGCAAACUAUGUGCCAGCAGCCGCGGUAAGACAUAGGGUGCAAGCGUUGUCCGGAAUUACUGGGCGUAAAGAGUGCGUAGGCGGUGGACUAAGUUGAGUGUGAAAGCCUUGGGCUUAACCCAAGAAUUGCACUUGAGACUGGUUUACUAGAGUGAGGGAGAGGUAAGUGGAAUUCCUAGUGUAGCGGUAGAAUGCGUAGAUAUUAGGAGGAACAUCAGAGGCGAAGGCGGCUUACUGGACCUUAACUGACGCUGAGGCACGAAAGCGUGGGGAGCAAACAGGAUUAGAUACCCUGGUAGUCCACGCCCUAAACGAUGGAUACUAGAUGUGGGGUAGGUUACUACUCCGUAUCGAAGCUAACGCGUUAAGUAUCCCGCCUGGGUAGUACGUUCGCAAGAAUGAAAACUCAAAGGGAAUUUG